rfam:Nelumbo nucifera unplaced genomic scaffold scaffold00043, whole genome shotgun sequence
GGGGAUGUAGCUGAAAUGGUAGAGCGCUCACUUUGCAUGCGAGAGGUACGAAGUUUGAUACCCAGCAUCUCCA